rnacentral:rRNA from 1 species
UACGUAGGGUCCGAGCGUUGUCCGGAUUUACUGGGCGUAAAGGCGCGUAGGCGGCCUCUUAAGUCGAACGUGAAAUCCCCGGGCUCAACCCGGGAACUGCGUCCGAUACUGGGAGGCUUGAAUCCGGGAGAGGGAUGUGGAAUUCCAGGUGUAGCGGUGAAAUGCGUAGAUAUCUGGAGGAACACCGGUGGCGAAGGCGGCAUCCUGGACCGGUAUUGACGCUGAGGCGCGAAAGCUAGGGGAGCAAACGGG